rnacentral:rRNA from 1 species
AUGUUGUAUGGCGCUGAGUGUUGGCCGACUAAAAGGCGACAUGCUCAACAGUUAGGUGUGGCGGAGAUGCGUAUGUUGAGAUGGAUCUGUGGCCACACGAGGAAGGAUCGAGUCCGGAAUGAUGAUAUACGAGAUAGAGUUGGGGUAGCACCAAUUGAAGAGAAGCUUGUCCAAUAUCGUCUAAGAUGGUUUGGGCAUAUUCAGCGCAGGCCUCCAGAAGCUGCAGUGCAUAGCGGACGGCUAAAGCGUGCGGAGAAUGUCAAGAGAGGUCAGGGUAGGCCGAAUUUGACAUGGGAGGAGUCCGUUAAGAGAGACCUGAAGGAUUGGAGUAUCACCAAAGAACUAGCUAUGGACAGGGGUGCGUGGAAGCUUGCCAUCCAUGUUCCAGAGCCAUGA